GAUGAAGAACGUAGCGAAAUGCGAUAAGUAAUGUGAAUUGCAGAAUUCAGUGAAUCAUCGAAUCUUUGAACGCACAUUGCGCCCCCUGGUAUUCCGGGGGGCAUGCCUGUCCGAGCGUCAUUACAACCCUCAAGCUCAGCUUGGUGUUGGGCCCCGCCGCCCCGGCGGGCCCUAAAGUCAGUGGCGGUGCCGUCCGGCUCCGAGCGCAGUAAUUCUUCUCGCUCUGGAGGUCCGGUCGUGUGCUCGCCAGCAACCCCCAAUUUUUUUCAGGUUGACCUCGGAUCAGGUAGGGAUACCCGCUGAACUUAAGCAUAUCAAUAAGCGGAGGA
rnacentral:misc_RNA from 1 species